rnacentral:rRNA from 1 species
UACGUAGGGUGCAAGCGUUGUCCGGAAUUAUUGGGCGUAAAGAGCUCGUAGGCGGUCUGUCACGUCGGCUGUGAAAACUCGGGCUCAACCCCGAGCCUGCAGUCGAUACGGGCAGACUAGAGUCCGGCAGGGAGACUGGAAGUUCCUGGUGUAGCGGUGAAAUGCGCAGAUAUCAGGAGGAACACCGGUGGCGAAGGCGGGUCUCUGGGCCGGAACUGACGCUGGAGGCACGACAGCGUGGGGAGCAAACAGG